CCCGAGACGUGAUAGUACCAUGCCAAUCGAACCGGGCAAUUAGUGUAAAUAGUAGGAAAUGUUGUAUCCAUGUGAUCCCCUAAGACGUGAUAGUACUAUGCCAAUUGAACUUGGCAAUUAGUGUAAAUAGUAGGAAAUGUGGCAUUCACGUGAUCCCAAAUAUCAUGAAGGAACGUAUCCAGCAUCACCAAAAGAAGAUUGAAUUCCAUGGUUGG
rnacentral:lncRNA from 1 species